UCUGGUAAUGAUGAUAAACUUGCCCUCACUGAGUGCCAUUCUGUGAUGAGAACACCAAUGUACUCAACUAAUGUUAACCUGAACCAGG
rfam:Xenopus laevis strain J chromosome 2L, whole genome shotgun sequence.